UGCAAGUCGAGCGGCAGCGGGAAAGUAGCUUGCUACUUUUGCCGGCGAGCGGCGGACGGGUGAGUAAUGCCUGGGGAUCUGCCCAGUCGAGGGGGAUAACUACUGGAAACGGUAGCUAAUACCGCAUACGCCCUACGGGGGAAAGCAGGGGACCUUCGGGCCUUGCGCGAUUGGAUGAACCCAGGUGGGAUUAGCUAGUUGGUGAGGUAAUGGCUCACCAAGGCGACGAUCCCUAGCUGGUCUGAGAGGAUGAUCAGCCACACUGGAACUGAGACACGGUCCAGACUCCUACGGGAGGCAGCAGUGGGGAAUAUUGCACAAUGGGGGAAACCCUGAUGCAGCCAUGCCGCGUGUGUGAAGAAGGCCUUCGGGUUGUAAAGCACUUUCAGCGAGGAGGAAAGGUUGGUAGCUAAUAACUGCCAGCUGUGACGUUACUCGCAGAAGAAGCACC
rnacentral:rRNA from 1 species